GCGGGGGUAGCCAAGCCUGGUCAAAGGCGCAGGGCUUAGGACCCUGUCCCGUAGGGGUUCGUGGGUUCAAAUCCCACCCCCCGCACCA
rnacentral:tRNA from 2 species